CAGAUCCGGUUGAUCCUGCCGGACCCGACUGCUAUCGGGGUGGGACUAAGCCAUGCAAGUCUAGGGUACCUAGAGGUUUCCUCUAGGUACCCUGGCGCACGGCUCAGUAAUACCCGGUCAACCUGCCCUCGGGCGGGGGAUAACCCCGGGAAACUGGGGCUAAUCCCCCAUAUGCGAGGGUGUCUGGAACGACCCCUCGCAGAAAGCCCUUCUGGGCGCCCGAGGAUGGGACCGGGGCCCAUCAGGUAGAUGAGGGGAUAAAAACCCCUCAUGCCGAUAACGGGUACGGGCCGUGGAAGCGGGAGCCCGGAGAUGGGCCCUGAGACAAGGGCCCAGGCCCUACGGGGCGCAGCAGGCGCGAAACCUCCGCAAUGCGCGCAAGCGCGACGGGGCCACCCCGAGUGCCUCCCGCUGAGGGAGGCUUUUGCCCAGUGUAAAAAGUGGGCGAAUAAGGGGAGGGCAAGGCUGGUGCCAGCCGCCGCGGUAAAACCAGCUCCCCGAGUGGUCGGGACGAUUAUUGGGCUUAAAGCGCCCGUAGCCGGCCUCGCAAGCCCCAGGUUAAAUCCAGCCGCUUAACGGUACGAAUUCCGGGUAGACUGCCAGACUUGAGACCGGGAGAGGCUAGAGGUACUCCUGGGGUAGAGGUGAAAUUCUGUAAUCCUGGGGGGACCACCAGUGGC
rnacentral:rRNA from 1 species